CCUACGGGUGGCAGCAGUGAGGAAUAUUGGUCAAUGGCCGGAAGGCUGAACCAGCCAUGUCGCGUGAAGGUCAAUGCCCUAUGGGCGUUUCACUUCUUUUGUUCGGGAACCAUAAUGGUCACCUGUGGCCCGACAAGAGUAUCGUCCGAAUAAGCGUCGGCUAAAUCCGUGCCAGCAGCACCGGUAUUACGGGGGAUGCACGCGUUAUCCGGAUUUAUUGGGUUUAAAGGGUGCGCAGGCGGAUGUUUAAGUCAGCGGUCAAAUCGUGGGGCUCAACACCAGCCAGCCGUUGAAACUGGUGAUCUAGAGUGUGCGAGAAGUAUGCGGAAUGCGUGGUGUAGCGGUGAAAUGCAUAGAUAUCACGCAGAACCCCGAUGGCGAAGGCAGCAUACCGGGGCACAACUGACGCUCAGGCACGAAAGCGUGGGUAUCGAACAGGAUUAGAUACCCCGGUAGUC
rnacentral:rRNA from 1 species